rnacentral:lncRNA from 1 species
UUAUCAUUCAGGGAGAUUUUACAGAUGACAUAAUUGAUGUCAUUCAGGAAAAAUGGCCAGAGGUAGAUGAUGACAGCAUCGAAGAUCUUGGAGAAGUAAAGAAGUGAAUUUGAAAAUUUGUCUGUAUUUAAUGGCCUGAACUGAGAGUUGAUAUGGCCAAAGGGAGAGAGGCCUUUUAAAAUAUAUAUAUAUAUACACAUAUAUAUGUAUAUAUACACAUAUAUGUAUGUAUACACAUAUACACAUGUAUAUAUACAUGUGUGUAUGUAUACAUGUAUAUAUAUAUACAUACACAUAUAUGUAUACAUAUAUACACAUAUAUGUAUACAUAUAUACACAUAUGUAUACAUAUAUAUAUAUUCUACAGUAAAACUGUAGACUGUCCUCGUCCUUGGCAUUUUCACUGUUCUGUACAAGGCUGCUUGUUUUUUUAUUGCCAAAGUCAAAUAAACGGGAGACUGUCAUGCUCAUGCAUGAAUAGAAUUUAGUCAAAUAAAAAAUUUUGGUCAUUUGGUACUGACUUUCUCUCUCUCUCUCUCUCUCUUUUUUUUUUUUGACAGAGUCUCGCACUGUUGCCUGGGCUGGAAUGCAGUGGUGCGAUCUCGGCUCACUGCAACCUCCGCCUCCCGGGUUCAAGUGAUUCUCCUGCCUCAGCCUCCCAAGUAGGUGGGAUUACAGGCGCCCGCCACCACGCCCAGCUAAUUUUUGUAUUUUUAGUAGAGAUGGGGUUUCACUAUGUUGGCCAGGCUGGUCUCGAACUCCUGACCUCGUGAUUGGCCCACCUCAGCCUCCCAAAGUGCUGGUAUUACAGAUGUGAGCCACCGCACCCAGCCUGAGUUUCUCUUUCUCUCUUUUUAACUUUAUUUUUUGAAAAACCCGGUAGACUUUUUGUGGGGAGCAUUUUUGUUGAUAAUUUUACUGAUCUAAAGCUGAGUGAUUUUUUAAAAGAAUUUGAAUUUGGCUUCCUCACCAGUAAUAUGUCUCCUUGCUUCUUUGAUGUGAUAGUUUUGAGAUGGGUGAGAAUCUAAUAGAUCUGUGGUUGAAUUUGCUGUGUUGUUAUGAAGUCCACCCUGUGGGCACAAUAACAUAACUGUUGGUAGGAGUUGUUUGAGCUAUUCUGGAGAUUAUUUGGUAAAGUAUACUAAAAGCCUUAAAACCAUGUAUGUGCGCUGUUUGAACCCGUAAGCCACUUCUUUGAC